UAGUAAUUCUAGAGCUAAUACAUGCAAAAGAUCCCGACUGGUGACGGAAGGGAUGUAUUUAUUAGGUCCAAAAUCAAUGCUGGAUGGAAACAUUCAGGAAAGUUGAUGAUUCAUAAUAACUAAACGAAGCGCGGAGCAAGACUCAGCGCUGAUACAAAUGAGUUUCUGCCCUAUCAACUUUCGAUGGUAGUAUAGGGGACUACCAUGGUCG
rnacentral:rRNA from 1 species